GAUGAAGAACGUAGCGAAAUGCAAUAAGUAAUGUGAAUUGCAGAAUUCAGUGAAUCAUCGAAUCUUUGAACGCACAUUGCGCCCGCUAGUAUUCUGGCGGGCAUGCCUGUCCGAGCGUCAUUUCAACCCUCAAGCCCCCGGGCUUGGUGUUGGGGAUCGGCGAGCCUCCGCGCCCGCCGUCCCCUAAAUCUAGUGGCGGUCUCGCUGUAGCUUCCUCUGCGUAGUAGCACACCUCGCACUGGGAAACAGCGCGGCCACGCCGUUAAACCCCCAACUUCUGAACGUUUGACCUCGGAUCAGGUAGGAAUACCCGCUGAACUUAAGCAUAUCAAUAAGCGGAGGA
rnacentral:misc_RNA from 1 species